CCUACGGGAGGCAGCAGUGGGGAAUUUUGGACAAUGGGGGCAACCCUGAUCCAGCCAUUCCGCGUGAGUGAAGAAGGCCUUCGGGUUGUAAAGCUCUUUCGCAAGGGAAGAAAACUUAUGAUCGAAUAAAUCAUGAGGUUGACGGUACCUUGAUAAGAAGCACCGGCUAACUACGUGCCAGCAGCCGCGGUAAUACGCAGGGUGCGAGCGUUAAUCGGAAUUACUGGGCGUAAAGCGUGCGCAGGCGGUUUUGUAAGUCGGAUGUGAAAUCCCCGGGCUCAACCUGGGAACUGCGUUCGAAACUGCAAGGGCUAGAGUGUGUCAGAGGGGGGGUAGAAGUUCCACGUGUAGCAGUGAAAUGCGUAGAGAUGUGGAGGAAUACCAAUGGCGAAGGCAGCCCCCUGAGAUAACACUGACGCUCAUGCACGAAAGCGUGGGGAGCAAACAGGAUUAGAUACCCUGGUAGUCCACGCCCUAAACGACUGUCAACUAGUUAGUUGGUAGAGUAAAAUCUAUGAGUAACGUAGCUAACGCGUGAAGUUGACAGCCUGGGGAGUACGGUGCAAGNUUAAAACUCAAAGGAAUUGAGG
rnacentral:rRNA from 1 species